rnacentral:lncRNA from 1 species
AGCACCCCACGAGCGGCCCGUACCUGCUCUCCACACGCGGCUCCCGAUGGCGGCGGCUCCCUCCGGGCACGGCCGGAGCCCUCACGGAGCGGCUCCUGCAGGGCCGAGAUCCAGCGGCGCGCCGGCCUCCACCUCUGGGCACAGAGAGCCGAGGGAGGCGGCGGAAUCAUCGUGGGGACCGGGAGGAGGCUCCGGUCCCUUCAGGACAGUCCAAAGGUGUUUCCUGAGCUUCGGGAUCCCCUCAGGCUCGGAGUCCCCUCAGGCUCGGGGUCCCCUCAGGCUCGGGGUCCCUCAGGCUCGGGAUCCCCUCAGGCUCGGGGUCCCCUCAGGCUCGGGAUCCCCUCAGGCUCGGGAUCCCCUCAGGGCCAGUCCAGAGAUGUUUCUUCGGGCUCGGGUCCCCUCAGGCUCGGGGUCCCCUCAGAGUUUCCCGCCUUUUUCUCAGGCUCGGGUCCCCCUCAGGUUCAGGGUCCCCUCAGGGUCAGGGUCCCCUCAGGCUCAGGGUCCCCUUAGGCUCAGGGUCCCCUUAGGCUCGGGAUCCCCUCAGGACAGUCCAAAGAUGUUUCUUCAGGCUCGGGGUCCCCUCAGGCUCGGGAUCCCCUCAGGCUCGGGGUCCCCUCAGGCUCGGGGCCCCUCAGGCUCGGGAUCCCCUCAGGCUCGGGAUCCCCUCAGGCUCGGGUCCCCUCAGAGCUUCCCGCCUUUUUCUCAGACUCGGGUCCCCUCGGGUUCGGGUCCCCUCAGGCUCGGGGUCCCCUCAGGCUCGGGGCCCCUCAGGCUCGGGAUCCCCUCAGGCUCGGGAUCCCCUCAGGCUCGGGGCCCCUCAGGUUCAGGUUCCCCUCAGGACAGUCCAGAGAUGUUUCUUCAGGCUCGGGAUCCCCUCAGGCUCGGGUCCCCUCAGAGCUUCCCGCCUUUUUCUCAGACUCGGGUCCCCUCGGGUUCGGGUCCCCUCAGGCUCGGGUCCCCUCAGGCUCGGGGCCCCUCAGGCUCGGGAUCCCCUCAGGCUCGGGAUCCCCUCAGGCUCGGGGCCCCUCAGGCUCAGGGUCC